UGGACGGAAGCUAAAGUGGAUCAGCAUCUGGCUUUUAACCAGACCUUAGUGAGUUCGAGUCUCACCCGUUCAACCA
rnacentral:tRNA from 1 species